UGUGGUGAUGUGACUGUGUGGUGGCUUGGAAAAGGGAGAGAUACCCUCUUCCUCCAUUUCCGUCUCAACCCCUGUGGCAUAUAGGAGACCUGGCACUGAGGUAAUGAGACCAGGAAAGAUGGUCCUGCCUCUCACAAACUACAGCACUCAGGAAAGCAGCUGCAUCUAACCUCAGUACUACUGACCCUGGUGUCAGGGAUGCUGGCAAGACAGCUCUAAAGGUGGUGAAGUUGUCCUGACUGGAUCACAAGAGCAGGAGAAUUGUGUCUGCCCCUUCCUGAGGAGCACAAUCAAGAUGACUGUGGAUGAAGGGGUUUCAGUCAGCGUCAGCAUGGAGUCACCUUGGGCACAGAGUCAGUGGACAUGCCCACGGUCACUAGAGGACUCUCCACACGAUCUUAGGACCACUGGUUUGAAGCCAAGCUGGGAUUUUGAUCACUUCAACAUGCUGAUCAAAUGGUUUACUUUAACGAUGGAAAACAGACAGGUUAACAGUUUUGGUGAUCAGAAGACAACUAGUUCUGGACCAGAG
rnacentral:lncRNA from 1 species